UCGAGAAUCUUCCGCAAUGGAUGAAAGUCUGACGGAGCGACGCCGCGUGAUGGAUGAAGUCCCUCUGGGACGUAAACAUCUUUUAUGAGGGAGAAAGUUUAUUGAUAGUACCUCACGAAUAAGGGGUUGCUAAACUCGUGCCAGCAGCAGCGGUAAUACGAGUGCCCCGAGCGUUAUCCGGAAUCAUUGGGCGUAAAGGGUGUGUAGGUGGCAUUGUUAGUCACACGUUAAACCCUGGGGCUUAACCCCAGAUCUGCGUGUGAUACGGCAAAGCUAGAGGAUGGCAGGGAUGUAUGGAACUCAUGGAGUAGGGGUGAAAUCCGUUGAUAUCAUGGGGAACACCGAAAGCGAAGGCAGUACAUUGGGCCACUCCUGACACUGAAACACGAAAGCGUGGGUAGCGAAUGGGAUUAGAUACCCUAGUAGUCCCUGAGCGGGCUGGCAAGGCGCAU
rnacentral:rRNA from 1 species